rnacentral:antisense_RNA from 1 species
CUUCAGCGAUCCGAUCCACAACGGCGUGUCCGGCGUCCGCUCCCGGCCGUAGGUGGCCAGCAGGGCCCUGGCCUC